AAAAUUCGUUGGCUUUAUAGACCGUGAGGGUUC
rnacentral:tRNA from 1 species